UACGCGCCAUAAUAGAUUAUAAUCACUCGUUUACUCAUUCCAUUAGCCAUUGAACAGAAAAAUUGUGCGAAUUGAUUUCUCAAAUUGGUGGAGGAGCUGCGUGGGUUAGAGAUUUUAGAGGACGAAAUGGAGGCCGAAGGAGCAAGAAGAAGAAGAAAUGGGUGUUAAAAAUGGGGUAUGAAGUGAAAGUGAAAGUGAAAAUGUGUCGCAAUCAGGGAAGGUAAUGGAGUAAGAACCAGGUUCCCCACUAAGCACAUAGCAUACACUCAGAUUUACUAUUUAUGGUAAAACCCAAAGGCCUAGACAAUGUAGUCCACUCAGACACCCACCAACCCCACCCCAAUAUCCCCUCUUGUUUCCCUUCAUAAUUUUAUUUUCUUUCCUUCUCAUACAAUUUUCGUUCCAUAGUUUCAACAGCUUCAUGAUUUCUUCUUUACGUGGAAAAGAAAAAAAGAAAAAAAUAAAUAAAACUUUUUCCAUAGUCCAGGGAUCGCUUCCUGUGCUUGGACAGAGCCAUACGCAUCUCCUGCUGAUGAAUAGGCAUCCCCACACACAUAAUCACAUAAUUGAAAUUCCUGUUUCUUUUUCUUGGGGGGAUAUUAUUGAGUAUUUUGCUAGACUUUUGUAGUGAUUGAAAGCAUUAUAAAGCAUAUGGGACAUGGGUGGGCCAAAAAGCAGACUACCAGCAUAUUUCUGUACUAAUUUAGAAAAGAAGAUACCAGUGGGAGGAGGUUCUUCCACUGUUCUGUGUAGAGAUUAGGCUAAGCCUUAGUGCGGUUAAUCAAUUCUACCCUUAAAUUAUUUGUUUUGUGGAAUAUACUUUAUUACUUCACUUUUUGUUUCUUCUGCCACUCUUUCUUUCUUUCUUUCAUUCUUUCAUUCUUUCUUUUCUUUUGGUAGGGGUGUCUAUGUGGGUGAAAUUAUUUACGAGUAUAGUUGCUAAAAGACAAAUAUAUCUUAUGCAGGUUUUAGUAGGAGUGAUGGUUAAGGUUUUGUUUGAUUGUUCAAAUAUAUGCAUAUAUUUGUUUUCAGAAACAUGGCAUAGAAUGAAUUGAGAAAAGUGUGUUUGAU